rnacentral:lncRNA from 1 species
CAAUCGCUGGCAGGCUGAGUCAUUCCAUCCAGCAAACAAUCGGAAGCAAUUCUGCUUCCCACUGCUCUGGAGGAAUCAAAAGCUACUCUGUGGCAGCCUUUUGUGUGCAGGUCCCCCCAGCGCUCAGCCUUCAGUGGCUGGCGGAGCCUCCCUCCAUUCCUGAGGGCAGCUUGUGUCUUGGCUGCAUUGAUUGACAGUUCUCCGCAGGAAUAAGAUUACCCGCCAAUCCUGACCUGCCCUUCCCCCUUCCAAAAAUAAAUCCCCAGUUGCAUGCAAAGCUCAUGCAAAUUCAACCUGCUGCUGCCGCUGCUCCCCGUGAGAGAGCAGAAGGCAGGCUCCACAUUCAUGACUCGGUACCCCUGGGCACCAGGGCCUUGCGGAUGAAGGGAGCCACUUCUAAAGAGCCGUGACUGGGAUCUAAAUGAGGGAGUAGGUGAGAUCUCCAGAGGAGGGCUGGGUGUCUGACUGGACUUCUUCCCCUCUCACCUGGACAGAUAAGGAACCCGGGUCUAAUUAGGACCCUGGAGGCCAGAAUGUCCAGGGUCCUGCUGCACGUCCCUGAAGAUGAUCCAGCUGUGAACCCGGGUAAAUGAACAUCACAACUAACGGGUCUUGGACAGGGAUUGAACACAGGUUUUUUUUGCCUAUUUACCAACUUUGUGACUUCCUAAAUUAUUCUGAGGCCAAGUUCAGGUUCAGUUGGGAAAGAUCUUUGAAAACACUGGCAAUGAUGGCCAUUGCUUUGGGGUGGGGGGAGGUGACAUGCUGUUAUUUCUGUGACAUCCCUUGUCCAGGUACCAAAGUUGGGAGCUGGGUGGCAUUUGACAAAUCAGACAACACAGCGUCUCCAUCUGGACAGGAGAUGUCUCAAGUUCCCUUCAAGUUCUCUGACUCCGAGGAAUGCUUUUAUGGCUCCCCCUCUCUAAAAUUCUGACCCUUCAUUCACCCGUACACAGGUCCACAUGACGAUCCUCUGCACUCCAGCCCAGGCUCCUGGGACAGAGGAAAAUACUCCAGGUGAGAGCUAAGUCACAUUCCAUUUCACCCAAGAGUCAGAGGCAGGGAAGGAGUAAGGGAGCCCCUCGCUAAUGGUGCCCUUGAAAACAGAGAGGGCGCUGGGACCCCUUUCCGUGGCAUCACAGGGGCAACCGCCCCCUUGCAUGACAGGUGCCUGAAGCCCGCCCUGCCAGCACGGUCAGGAGUCUCAGGCCGUCUGCAGCAGGAGAACUUGGCCCCCCGUCACAGAAUGACAGAAGUGAGAAAAGCUCACCAGUGAUGCCCACCACUCCUCCAUUAGAGGCCACAGACCCAAAGAGGGUCUGGGGACUUGUUGGAGGCCACACAGCAAGCAAGAGCAGAGUGGGGGCUGCGAACAUGGCCCCUGGCUCCCUCCCUGGUGCUUCCCACUUUCUUUAACAGUGGAGCAGGGAGGAAGAAGGGCGGGUGGGAUAUCAUGCCAUGCUGACAGGCUCUGAUUUAAAAAUACUCAGAUCAGACGGGAGAUGAAGCCAAGGGCCCAUCUGCACGCCAGUCACCUGGGACUCCCAGUGUCAAUGCCAGCUGUGGCCAGGUGAUGACUUUCUAUAAACAACUGGAGCUCUUAAGCUUGGCUGGUGCUAGAGUGUGACAAGGGACAGAGGCAGAAAGGAGCAAAAGUCCUCUGUGGCCUACAAGACCCCAGGGAGGGCUUGGCUUAAGGUAGGGAAUGGGGAGAACUGGAGCAGGUGGACGGUGUGGGAGAGAGUCUGGAGCAGGAUACAAGCUGGGUCUCAAUGAGGCUCUGCUUCUCUUUGCCUUCACCUCGCCCCAACAUGGCUCCCUGUUCACACCCACCGAGUGGGUCCUGUGUGUGUGUGUGUGUGUGUGUGUGCGGUGGGGCAGGGGCCUGGUGCCUGAGACUGUAGAACUCAGAAAGAGACUGGAGUUGGGGAAGCCCUGGAAGAGGGGACAGCUCAGACUCCUAACUCUGAAAAUGACCUAGGCUGGUCCCUCAGGGCAGGUGGCUCUGGGUACUGGUGCUGUCCUGUACCUGAGUGUGUUUUGGUGUGCUACACAGCCUGGGCCUGUCUGUGCAUGACCCAGGAAGCCAGCAGCCAUUCCUGACAAGUCUCCACCUGUCCCGAGUCAAACCUCUCCAGGUGCCAUUUGAUGUGCUUGGCUGGGGAAUGUGACUUCUGUGUCACCUCUUCCUCUCCCUGGGGGCUUAGUGAUCCAGAGCCUCACAAGAAGCAAAGGGGCCUUGGAGCCCCUGUGGAGCAUCCAGUUGGCCACUCCUCUGCAGUCCCACAGCCUGCCACCCCCACACCCCCAACGGUGAGGAUCAUUAACCUUUUCUCAGAACCCCAAGGUGCCAGCAGAUUGGUCCCCAGCUACCAAGUAUCUGAUUUUGUCCCUUCCACCUCUGUGAACCCUCCUGCUCAGUGUUACAGCCCACAGGGACAGAGGUACAUAAAGAGGCUCUGAGGAGCUGGGACGCAGGGUCCCUUGGGCUUCACUUCAGGACCUCCUUGCACUUGGGCCCUGUGGACAUGGCCGGCUGGCAUGUCCCCAACAUGCCACCUUCCGUCUCAGUAAGUUUCCACAGGCCCUUCCCUCUGUGAGGCUGCUUCUCAGGUGCAGGGGAAAGUGGAGAAGCCUCCCUCCCUGCCCCUCGCCUCCCUUGACUGACUGAAGAAAGCAAUGCCGGCUAAGAACUCCAAUCCAAGCAUACCAACUUCCAUCGCUGGGGUCUGGGGAGGGCAGCCGGGCACUGCGGGACUGCCCCCCUACAGCUCAGAGCAGAGGCCUCUGAGGCUGGCUGAAGUUCAGGAACCACUGUUCUCGCAUUUUCUUUAUACCUCUGCCCCAUGCCCGUCACAGCAUUGCUGGAAUUACCAUUGCUGGCUCCUUGAGGACAGGGACUUGUCUUGCAGUCCCAGGAAAUGUGUCAGCCUUGUGAAUUAGACUCAGAUGUGCAUUUUAAUUAGAUGUCAUGUGAAUAAUUCCUCACCUCCCACUCACUCCCAUCUUCUCUACCCUUCCAUCCACCCAGGCCCCAGGGGGAAUCUUAUCUGCCCUCAGUACAAAAAGAAAAUUGUCCUCCUCUCUCUCACUUAUCUCCUCCUCUCCUUCCUUCCUUCUUCCCAGGUAGCCAUUGGGGGCUCGUGGAACUGAGAGCGAGGAUGGAAUAGGGUCUCGUGGAGUGAAAGGAAGCUCCGGGUGUAUGUCAGGGCUUGGGCGAGCAGAGUAGUGGGAGGGCGUGUGUGAGAUAUUGAUCCCUGCUCCAAUGUUGCCAAGACUUCAAAAGCCUUCUAGGUGUUUCCUGGGUUGCACUGUCCUCUCAAAAUACAAAAACAGACUGAGGGAGUCUAGCCUGAACCCCCUCGCACACAGACUCCUUCAAGGACACCCUGAGCCCUUCAUGGGCUCCCUUUGGGAUGGUCCCUUCCCGGGGGAUGCUGAGAGCCACUGCCGAGUCUGUAUGGCCCCUGGCAUUUUGCCAACAGUAUUGAUUGACAGGCGAGGCAUUACUAUCCGCCUCUGCCCCGACUUUUGAGUUCUCGCACUAUUUUGGAGUUCUCGUGGGGAUUUCCAGGGAUUCCCCGAGAGUUCCCAUUGGUUGGGGAAGUGCAGGAGGAAGGAUUUCCGGGAGAGAUAUUUCCGGCUGGGGGUUCCUGGACAAGCCUCGUGGCGUUAGGGAGGAUUCCCUGGGAGCUGUGUGAAGUGUUUUCCUGCAGUUUAAAAAUAAAGUUUGUUCCUGCUUCAGUGGCUCGUGACUUGUGCCCAGCCAGACUGCGGCGGGGGGGGCACAGGCCUGUGGAAAUAGAACUGGAAAUGGAGGGUGACCGUGGCCAAAGAGACAUACAUGCCGCAGAAGCACGGUACUGAGCCAACGUGCCAGACAGACCAGCUUCUGUCUGUACUCAGCCAAGGCCAGUGAUUUGCAGCACAAGAUUUCCAGGAACACAGAAGCAUGGCGAUCACUAGGGAUAUAUACAAUCCAGGUGUCCUCCCUCCCUCCCUCCCUCCCUCCUUCCUUCCUUCCUUCCUUCCUUCCUUCUAGAUGUCUUUUAAGAGUGAAAGGGGUGCUAGUGUUAAUUACACUAGGACAACAGGCACAAGCUGGGAUGUAAGGUCACUUCACCAUGUGUAUCCUGGAUCAGCCAUAUUUCUCCCAUGUGGUCUAGGCCAGGGGUACAGAUGUAGGAGGAAGGUGGGGUGUCUCCUGGCCCCUGGUCCCUCCCCACAACCUCUUAGCCCUCUUUCAACUCAAGAAGCCAGGAAGCAACUGGGUCGUCAGGAGCUCCAGCUAAAUGGGCCUUUGGCCAGGUACUUUACCUACAGUGACUCUGCUGUAACUCCACGUGCCUUCACACUGGGCCCUCAGCUCAUCUUUCCUCAUGAUAACCCUGGGCAAGUAUUAAAAGCUCCAUCUGAGAGGGGGCCACAGUUGUCAGAGCUGAUUCUGGAACCCAGGACUUCUGACUCACAGGCCAGAGUUCCUCCUUCCCCACAUGUACCCUCGUCAUGGGGCAGGAAAGAUGGCAGCUGGGGUUGUGGCUUGGAUUGAUGGGCGGGUACCCCACCUCUCAGUUGCCACCUCCCAGGACCUAUGCCAGCGGUAGUUCUGAUGGUAGAGAAAUCUGUCACUGGAGGGGUGAACUUCUGGGAGCAUCUGUGCAUUGAUAAAAUAUCCCAAGCAUUCAUUGAAUAUCUUACUUUGCACAGUCACCAUCAGAGCCCUAAAGAUGUGGCAGCAAGCAGAGUCUGCCCUUAAAGGUGUGUAAAGUCAUGUUAGAAAAUGACAAAUUUAGGGGGAAAGAUGGUGGAAGGAGAUGGACA